CAGAAGUUGCUCAAGCUCCCAGAGAGGACAGAAAUCUUGAACCAAGCUACCCAUACCGAACCUGACCUAAAAAAGAGAAGCCAGAUAAGUUUGAGUAAGCACGCUUUAUUCCAUUCUUUCAAAUCCCAUAUGCCUAAUCCUCCAUGUCUCUUUUCAGUUGUAACGUCAGCCCAUGCCACACGAGCAGAGUGAUGCCCUUCUGUUGUCCCCUUCCAGAGGAAAGCUCCUGAAAGAGAGUUCAAUAUGUCUAUGCAUCUCUUGGGAAGAAUCAGGGCCGAACACCAAAAGUUUGUGAUACCCGCUAUAACUGUGUUAAGCAAUUGGAGGCGACCAGCAAAGGAGAGGGUUUUUGUUGACCACCCGUUGAAGUUGAGAGAGACCUGAAGUAUAGAAGCUCGUUUUGGGGAGGCUAAUGGCGAGACCGGAUGCAUCUUCAAAUUCUUUAAGAAUCUGGAGAACAUUCAGAACUGAGAGCGUCGUUCCUUCAACAAAUAUCAGCAAGUCAUCAGCAAAGCAAAGAUAAACAGUUCAUAGCCAGUACAAAGAGGUACGGAGAUAAAGGAUCCCCUUGCCUCAACCCUCUGCGACCUUUAAAGUAUCCAUGGACUGAGCCAUUAAAUCCCACAGAGAAGGAAGGAGUACAGACACAGGC